rnacentral:hammerhead_ribozyme from 1 species
AGACUUCUGAAGAGUCCCACAAUGGGACGAAACGGUCGUCCAGUGC